CCUACGGGCGGCAGCAGUGAGGAAUAUUGGUCAAUGGGCGCGAGCCUGAACCAGCCAAGUAGCGUGAAGGAUGACUGCCCUACGGGUUGUAAACUUCUUUUAUAAAGGAAUAAAGUGAGGCACGUGUGCCUUUUUGUAUGUACUUUAUGAAUAAGGAUCGGCUAACUCCGUGCCAGCAGCCGCGGUAAGACGGAGGAUCCGAGCGUUAUCCGGAUUUAUUGGGUUUAAAGGGAGCGUAGAUGGGUUGUUAAGUCAGUUGUGAAAGUUUGCGGCUCAACCGUAAAAUUGCAAUUGAUACUGGAAGACUUGAGUACAGUAGAGGUAGGCGGAAUUCGUGGUGUAGCGGUGAAAUGCUUAGAUAUAACGAAGAACACCGAUUGCGAAGGCAGCUUACUAAACUGCAACUGACAUUGAUGCUCGAAAGUGUGGGUAUCAAACAGGAUUAGAUACCCUGGUAGUC
rnacentral:rRNA from 1 species